rnacentral:rRNA from 1 species
UACGAAGGGGGCUAGCGUUGUUCGGAAUUACUGGGCGUAAAGCGCACGUAGGCGGAUUUGUAAGUCAGGGGUGAAAUCCCGGGGCUCAACCUCGGAACUGCCUUUGAUACUGCAAGUCUCGAGUCCGGAAGAGGUGAGUGGAAUUCCUAGUGUAGAGGUGAAAUUCGUAGAUAUUAGGAAGAACACCAGUGGCGAAGGCGGCUCACUGGUCCGGUACUGACGCUGAGGUGCGAAAGCGUGGGGAGCAAUCAGC